GACCUCAGGAGGGACUCUCAGCAGUAAUAGAUUUGAGCUACGUUAGCUUUUACAUGGCGUGGAGAGCUACUUAGACUUCCGGAGUCAGUCAUUUUGGUGAUGAGACUUGGCAUUCUACCCCAGGUAAGACUUUUGCCUCUUUAAAAAUGUUUUUUCGGUGUCUCAGGAAUCUCUGUGAUUUUGUUAAGAUUUUUUUCUUCUUCUUUAGGCUGAACAUUGUAAUGACCUUUUUUAAUUUGUUGCAAAGUGUAGACUAAACUCAGAGAUGGGGGUGUGUUCGGCCGUCUACCCCAACUCUAGAGUCUUAACAAGACACACUUUGGUUUUCUUUCUAUUUUGCUUUGUUUUUGUUUUGAGAUGAGGUCUUGGAUAGCCUGGGCUGGCUGAUGUGAAGUCAAAGAUGGCCUUGAAUUCCUGACCCUUCUGCUUCCACCUCCCAGGUGCAGGAGUUACAGGCAUGUGCCACUGAGUCUUAGUUUCUAAGGUAUUCCCAUAUGUUCUUGGGGCUGUGUCAGAGCUUGCUUGUGUGGGGACUUUAGACUUCAUGCAGCAGUGUUUGAUGAAGGAAAUCUAAGGGCCCUCCAGCAUCCACAGAGAGCAGCUUUAAAGUUAUCUAGCUAUGUAGAAAAAAAAAAUCGAAAUAAAAACCAUAUCCCAGAAUUCCUAUCUAGCUAUUCUCAAUCCCAAUGGCCCCUUUCUGUACAUUUCUAGAUUAAAUUUAGUUUCUCAGCAGGUUUCAUGCUGUGCACUGCCAAUAGAUUGGCUGGGCUGUAACAUCCACAGCAACAAAAGCUUGGGGGAAAAUCACCGGUUUUAGGUGCUUCACUAAAUUAAAGUUGUGACAGAUGGGUUCAAGCGACCGGAUCUAAGAUGGUGCUGUGCAUGAGAGAAGAGAAAUAUAAGGAAACCCGUCCUUCGGUGGACCUUCAAGUCUAGUAGUUACAGCGAAAGAUACAGGUUAGGAAACAGUUGAAGAAGAAGCUGGGUCACAGAAGCUUUAACAGCUGUAGGGUUUCGAGAAGGGUUCUGGGAGUGAGCUGGAGUGCUCAGAAGGAAGGAUGCUUAUAAAGGAUGGGGGCUUAGCAGGAAGCCUUAGGAAGGAUGGGGGCUUAGCAGAUGGAGAAGGGGAAGGUUGUUGUAGACUUGGAGGGCCAUGUGGACUUUCCAUAAAGAGGAGACUGACUGGCCUAGAGACUGGCCCAGUGGUUUACCCUCUGCCGGAUCAGGGUUAGAAAGACAGGGUGUGGGCCAGCUGGAGAGAUGAAUGAGAAGAGACUACAUUCUGUAGUUUUAAACCUUCUUUUAGCCAUUUGUAGAGGGACUCGGCCAGUUUUGCAUCCUUGGGCCACCUUCUGAGUGCUUAGGACUGUUUUGUGAUACCCCUUGGGCCUCUAGCAGUGUUCCUUAGUCCAUUGUGGAUGCAGAGAAAGGCCUGGGGUGGGGGUCGGGGGGAACCUCUGUGUCUGUUUUCCUAUUUAAAGACUUUCAAUCAUCUGUCUUUCUUCUGGGGAGGUUGACUAGGUGGAUAAGCAAGUCUCUGACCUUGAAGAGCUUCUCUUUCAAAGAGAGUGAGCCCUUUGGGCCAUAUAACAGUUGUUUCCACGGACAUUCCCUUAGAGAGAUAGCAUGUUAUAGUGAUUCCUGGACCAUGAAAACUGGAAUCUAAAACCAUGGCAAAUGAGCAAGAACCUGGAGUCCAGGGGCCCAUGUUGAAGCUUGGCUCUGUUAUUUCUGGGCCAUGGGAACGUCAGACAAGUCACUGAAAUUCUUCAAUGUUCCUUUUUGUGUUGUUAUUAUAAGAGACCUUUAAAUAACAGUAGCAAUAACUGAAAAUUACUCCCCCCAAAGGCUGCAGUUGAGAUAAAAUAUACAAAGUGCUUAAUGUAGUGUCUAGCUUACAAUAAACUCUCAAAGGUCAGCCCUUAGGACUUGUAAGGAUUUGGCUAUGGACAAUGGGGGAAAAAAAAAGGGCGCUGAGCUGGCCCAGGGGCAAGCUUUCUACAAACUUACCUUUUUAAAUACAUUGUUCCUUUUAAGGGAAAUUGGGGGUGACAGGUAAAGGGCUGGGAAUGAACUAUAGACCAAACACAGAGUUUAGAUAUUUUAUAGUGUUCACAUGUGAAGAAAAGAGAACAGAUUUGAAAGCAAUGUUUUAAGCCUUUCCAUGCCAGCUCUUCCAGCUGGCUCUGAGCAUCUGCAGUUGUUUGUGAGUGUCUGUCUGGAAGGGUGUCUGAAGGUAGUGGGCAGAAUUACAGAGGUUCUUGGAACCCAGGACAGAGAAAGAUGCUUAUUUCUUGACCCCAUUUAAGUCAAGCAAUAUUACUUCAGUAUUUUAGUUGCAAUGCUAGCAUGAUACAGCUGAGAAUUCAUCCCUGCUCCACAGUUGGAAUACUUUUGACCGCGAGUUAUUGAAGAAGUGGUUUGGGGUCUGGAUGCUUAGGGCCAUUGAAAACCUGGGUUCAAAGCUUCCUGCUUUCCCUUCCUCUAGAUUGCAGGUUCAUAUGGAUCAGAAAGCCUUUUUAGGAGUGCAUUGUGUAGCUGGUAUGCUAAUUAUGAAGCCGGUUCUCAAUUAUGUGUCAAAGUUGCGAGGCUCUGGCGAGAGAUCUCGGGGCAGCAGCCAGAAAGUGGGCCAUGAAUGGGAAUUGAGAGGCAGCAUGGCAAUAUUAGACUGAGGUGAUCAGUGAGAGAAGGAAGCCUUUGAUGGAGGGGUGGGGAUGGGGUACCAGAAGCACCUGGCCUCGGUCCUCACCUGCCCAGUCACCCCUGUGACUGCUUGAAUGCUCUGAGCAAUCUCUGGACAGUCUGCACUAGGAACUUUCACGCUGUUCUGAGAUACGGAUGACUGUUGUAAGGUUGACUAGUCUAGUUUUGGCUGGACACCAGAACCACAUGGAGAACUUUAUGUGUCUUACCAUAGCCCUGGAAAGGGCAUCCAGGAAUCCGUGUGAUUGAAAAUACAAGCCCCAAAAUGACAUGGAACCAGUUUUUUUGCAUAAGAUGAUCUGAGAGCCAUUAAACGAAGCUUUCUCCUACCCCAACACCAAACACGUCCCCAAACACCAGCACGGUAAACAGUGCUGGGGUGCUCCUGACUGACCUCUCUGUGUUGUGAUUGACAUUUGUACACCGAAGAGGAUUCUCCUUUGUCCUGAAUUUAUUCCUUGAGAUGAGUUUCUGGGAGUGACAUGACUGGAUUAAGGGUAUGAGCAGUUUUAGCUCAAUCCUGUUUUCAUAAAGGGCCUUCUCUAAUACCUCUAGACCAGCGGUGCUCAACCCUCCUAACGCUGUGGCCCUUUCACACACUUCUGCAUGUUGUGGUGACCCCCCAACCACAAAACUUUUUCGUUGCUACUUCAUAACCCUAAUUUUGCUACUGUUAUGAAUCGUAAUGUAAAUAUCUGAUAUGGGACCCCCAAAGGGGUCAUGACUCACAGGUUGAGAACCACUGCUAAAGUGUUGUAUACAUGUAGAGCGAUACAGUAUUAUUCUGGGAGAGCUCAAAGGGAGAGAUUUACUAUCAAGGAGAAAGUGUCUGAUCAUUUCCCCCUCUUUCUAUCCCUGUAGAAUGGGGUGCUAGUGAGUCACUUGGGAAGAGAUUUCCAGAGCAUAACUGAUGUGUGAUGGCUUCUUCUAGUGUAAGCUGGGACCUUCUUAUCUUGCCAUUUGGUUUCUGGUAAAACUGAAGUCAGCAGUGGCUUCUUCCCCAUUUCCUAGAAAAGAAAACCAAGGUCGAGUCUGGUGAGGUAACAGGCGCCAGGCUUCUCACUGUAUCCCUGGUGAGGUAACAGGAUGCGGGGUUCUCACUGUACCCCUGAGAGCUACAAGUUGUCAUUCAUUCAGUUUAUUGUUGUAGCAACUGGGUAGUGUGUGUACAUGACCUUAUUCAGGGAAGUAGAUGUGAAAUAAAUACAUUCAGUGAGUUGGUGGUUAAUCAAGUCCAAAGGGACAUAGGAUUGCCCUAUCGUUUUUAAAUGUUUUAUUGGUUAUUUGCAUAUAAGGCUGACAGAAAUCCUCCUUUGUUGAACAGACAAGAAUAAGGUGAAUUUUCAGAACCUUUCAUGAGAAGAAAAAUUGCUUUUGGGAAGUGACAACUGAGACUCUUGCUGAUGUGUGCUAGUUUGCAAGAGCAGACUGUAGUAUUUGCAGAAGUUUCGGAAGCUGCUCAAGUUGCUGGCGCUGUUGAUCUGGGUGAUGGAUGCUGUGUGACUCUAUGCUAUGUGACCAUCUCUUCCUCAUCUUCGUGGUUCAGUGAUCUUGUGUCCUUAGCUAGAAAUCAGUCAUGGAAUGUUUAUUUUUACCAAAGCAGCAAACACAGCAAGCUGCUUAGAACAAGAUGAUUAAAAGUUUGACUUCUAUGCUGAUUUUAUGAUGAAUGAGAAACUUGAAAUGAAGGCAUUGGGGUUAGAGAGGUGGCUCGGUGGUUAAGGUUACUGGCUGUUCUUCCAGUGGACACAGGUUCAAUUCCCAGCAACUGCAUGACAGUGUGUAACUCAAGUUCUGGGGGAUCUGAUGCCCUCACACAGACAUACAUGCAGACAAAUCACCAGUGCACAUGAAAUAAAAGUAAAAUAAUAAUAAAUUAUACCUGGACAAUUGGAAGGAAGGAAGGAAGGAAGGAAGGAAGAAAGAAAGAAAGAAAG
rnacentral:lncRNA from 1 species